rnacentral:rRNA from 1 species
UACGUAGGUGGCAAGCGUUAUCCGGAUUUACCGGGUGUAAAGGGCGUGUAGGCGGGUCUGCAAGUUGGAUGUGAAAUCAAUCGGCUUAACUGGUUGGCUGCAUCCAAAACUGUGGAUCUUGAGUGUUGGAGAGGAUAGUGGAAUUCCUAGUGUAGCGGUAAAAUGCGUAGAUAUUAGGAGGAACACCAGUGGCGAAGGCGGCUAUCUGGACAACAACUGACGCUGGGGCGCGAAAGCGUGGGGAUCAAACAGGAUUAGAUACCCUGGUA